rnacentral:rRNA from 1 species
UACGAAGGUCCCAAGCGUUAUCCGGAUUUAUUGGGUUUAAAGGGUGCGUAGGCGGGUUAUUAAGUCAGUGGUGAAAGCUCCAUGCCUAACAUGGAAAUGGCCAUUGAUACUGAUGAUCUUGAGUACAUUUGAAGUGGGCGGAAUGUGUCAUGUAGCGGUGAAAUGCUUAGAUAUGACACAGAACACCGAUUGCGUAGGCAGCUCACUAAACUGUAACUGACGCUGAGGCACGAAAGCGUGGGGAGCAAACAGG